rnacentral:rRNA from 1 species
GAUGAACGCUGGCGGCGUGCCUAAUACAUGCAAGUCGAGCGAACAGACGAGGAGCUUGCUCCUCUGACGUUAGCGGCGGGCGGGUGAGUAACACGUGGAUAACCUACCUAUAAGACUGGGAUAACUUCGGGAAACCGGAGCUAAUACCGGAUAAUAUAUUGAACCGCAUGGUUCAAUAGUGAAAGACGGUUUUGCUGUCCCUUAUAGAUGGAUCCGCGCCGCAUUAGCUAGUUGGUAAGGUAACGGCUUACCAAGGCAACGAUGCGUAGCCGACCUGAGAGGGUGAUCGGCCACACUGGAACUGAGACACGGUCCAGACUCCUACGGGAGGCAGCAGUAGGGAAUCUUCCACAAUGGGCGAAAGCCUGACGGAGCAACGCCGCGUGAGUGAUGAAGGUCUUCGGAUCGUAAAACUCUGUUAUUAGGGAAGAACAAAUGUGUAAGUAACUAUGCACGUCUUGACGGUACCUAAUCAGAAAGCCACGGCUAACUACGUG